CCAGUGCCCCGUGGCCGGGCUUUCUCCGUGACCAUAAUAAAUAUGAAUGGCACCAGAGCCCGCGGGGCAGGGGCCACGUGAUCCCUCCGCGAAAGCACUUG
rfam:Rhinolophus ferrumequinum clone VMRC7-305L23, complete sequence.